UGGGGAAUUUUGGACAAUGGGGGAAACCCUGAUCCAGCCAUCCCGCGUGUGCGAUGAAGGCCUUCGGGUUGUAAAGCACUUUUGGCAGGAAAGAAACGUCGCGGGUUAAUACCCCGCGAAACUGACGGUACCUGCAGAAUAAGCACCGGCUAACUACGUGCCAGCAGCCGCGGUAAUACGUAGGGUGCAAGCGUUAAUCGGAAUUACUGGGCGUAAAGCGUGCGCAGGCGGUUCGGAAAGAAAGAUGUGAAAUCCCAGAGCUUAACUUUGGAACUGCAUUUUUUAACUACCGGGCUAGAGUGUGUCAGAGGGAGGUGGAAUUCCGCGUGUAGCAGUGAAAUGCGUAGAUAUGCGGAGGAACACCGAUGGCGAAGGCAGCCUCCUGGGGAUAACACUGACGCUCAUGCACGAAAGCGUGGGGAGCAAACAGGAUUAGAUACCCUGGUAGUCCACGCCCUAAACGAUGUCAACUAGCUGUUGGGGCCUUCGGGCCUUGGUAGCGCAGCUAACGCGUGAAGUUGACCGCCUGGGGAGUACGGUCGCAAGAUUAAAACUC
rnacentral:rRNA from 1 species